AGAGAAGCGAAUAAGAGCGGACGGAGGAUGCCUAGGCUUCAGGAGGCGAGGAAGGACGUGUUAAGCUGCGAAAAGCGUCGGGGAACAGCAAAAGUGUAAUGAUCCGGCGAUAUCCGAAUGGGGCAACCCGGCGGUCUGAAUGGCCGUCACACUCAAUAGAGUGAGCGAACGAAGGGAACUGAAACAUCUCAGUACCUUCAGGAAAAGAAAGAAAACAUCGAUAUCCGGAGUAGUGGCGAUCGAAACGGAUAGAGCCCAAACCGGUUUUGUUACGGCAGAGCCGGGGUUGUAGGAGCAUCGAAAUCGUGAUUCGGCGAACGGGAAUACAGUGGAAACUGUAGGCACAGAGGGUGACACCCCCGUACCGGUAAGUCAGAAUUGCAGGCGAUGCCACCUGAGUAAGGCGGGACACGAGAAAUCCUGUCUGAAACUGCGGGGACCAUCCCGCAAGGCUAAAUACUCCCUGAAGACCGAUAGUGGACCAGUACCGUGAGGGAAAGGUGGGAAGCACCCCGAGCAGGGGAGUGAAAAAGAACCUGAAACCGUCCGUUUACAAGCGGUUGGAGCAGCGAUGCGACAGCGUGCCUUUUGCAUAAUGAGCCUACGAGUUGCGUGUGUUCGGCGAGGUUAAUCCCUUCAGGGGAGUAAGCCGCAGCGAGAGCGAGUCUUAAUAGGGCGUAUAGUCGGAUGCAGCAGACGCGAAACCUAGUGAUCUACCCUUGGCCAGGCUGAAGGGACCGUAACAGGUCCUGGAGGGCCGCACCGGUUUACGUUGAAAAGUGCUCGGAUGAGCUGAGGGUAGGGGUGAAAGGCUAAUCAAACUGGGAGAUAGCUCGUACUCCCCGAAAUGCCUUUAGGGGCAGCCUGUAGAUAGCUUGACGGAGGUAGAGCUACUGAUAGGAUGAGAGGGCUUCGCCGCCUAUCGACUCCUGACAAACUCCGAAUGCCGUCAAGUGUUUCUAUGGAGUGAGUCUCCGGGUGCUAAUGUCCGGAGGCGAGAGGAAAAGAGUCCAGACCCGCGUCUAAGGCCCCGAAGCGUCACCUAAGUUGAUAGAACGAGGUGUCUCCGCAGAGACAGCUAGGAUGUUAGCUUGGAAGCAGCUAUUCAUUUAAAGAGUGCGUAACAGCUCACUAGUCGAGCGGAGAUGCGUGGAUGAUGAACGGGCAUCAAGGUGGCCGCCGAAGACCGGGACUCAGGUAACUGAGUGGUAGGGGAGCAUUCCAGUCAGCGAAGAAGGAGAAGCGAGAGUUUUUCUGGAGCGGUUGGAAAAGAAAAUGUAGGCAUGAGUAACGAUAAUGCGCGUAAGAAACGUGCACACCGAAAGCCCAAGGUUUCCUGAACAACGUUAAUCGGAUCAGGGUAAGUCGGGGACUAAGUGGUACCUGAAAGGGGGACACGAUGAAGAAACGGUUAAUAUUCCGUUACCCGCUGUAUGAGGGAAGACGUGACCGAGGAGUGACACUGCCGCCAUCAGACGGAAUAGAUGGUUGAACCGCAAAGGGAGACUGAAGCGGGACAGUACAGGGAGUCUACGGACGAACUGAUAGCGCAGGUAAUCAGACUUGCAAGAAAAGCGUUGUACUAUCAUCAUACAGGGGCCCGUACCGUAAACCGACACAGGUGGGCGAGGAGAGGAUCCUCAGGUGCUCGAGUGAAUCACGGCUAAGGAACUAGGCAAAUUUACCCCGUAACUUCGGGAAAAGGGGACCCUAGGGAUAGGGCGCAGAGAAAUGGUCUAGGCGACUGUUUACCAAAAACAUAUGGCUAUGCGAAAUCGUAAGAUGACGAAUAUGGCCUGACACCUGCCCGGUGCCGGAAGGUUAAGAGGGGGAGUCAUCGCAAGAGAAGCUCCGAAUUGAAGCCCCGGUAAACGGCGGCCGUAACUAUAACGGUCCUAAGGUAGCGAAAUUCCUUGUCGGGUAAGUUCCGACCUGCACGAAUGGUGUAACGAUCUGGGCACUGUCUCGGCCGUGAGCUCGGUGAAAUUGUAGUGGCGGUGAAGAUGCCGCCUACCCGCAACGGGACGAAAAGACCCCGUGAACCUUUACUAUAGCUUAGCGCUGAAUCCGGAUGACGGAUGUGUAGGAUAGGUGGGAGACAGUGAAUGCAUUGCGCCAGUGAUGCAGGAGUCGCCGUUGAAAUACCACCCUUCCGUCCUCUGGGCUCUAACUCCGCAGGGAGGACACCGCUUGGUGGGUAGUUUGACUGGGGUGGUCGCCUCCAAAAGCGUAACGGAGGCUUCCCAAGGUCUGCUCAGCACGAAUGGCAACCGUGCGUGAGUGUAUUGGCAGAAGCAGGCUUGACUGAGAGACAUACAAGUCGACCAGGUGAGAAAUCAGGGCAAAGUGAUCCGGUGGCACCACAUGGGAGGUCCAUCGCUCAAAGGAUAAAAGGUACUCCGGGGAUAACAGGCUGAUCGCUCCCAAGAGCUCAAAUCGACGGAGCGGUUUGGCACCUCGAUGUCGGCUCGUCACAUCCUGGGGCUGGAGCAGGUUCCAAGGGUUCGG
rnacentral:rRNA from 1 species